rfam:Hordeum vulgare subsp. vulgare, WGS project CAJW01000000 data, contig: morex_contig_73129
ACCCUCUGUGAUCCGAAGAUCACGUCCAAGAUCCUCGCCGGCCUCGAUCUGGAAUAUAAUCCAGUCGUGUCGGCGCUCGCAGCUCGGGUGGAGCCUGUCACGGUUCAAGAGCUAUACAGUCAACUCCUGAGCUUUGAUG